UGCAAGUCGAACGGAAAGGCCCUUCGGGGUACUCGAGUGGCGAACGGGUGAKUAACACGUGGGUGAUCUGCCCUGCACUUUGGGAUAAGCCUGGGAAACUGGGUCUAAUACCGAAUAUGACUACACGCUUCCUGGUGUGUGGUGGAAAGCUUUUGCGGUGUGGGAUGGGCCCGCGGCCUAUCAGCUUGUUGGUGGGGUAAUGGCCUACCAAGGCGACGACGGGUAGCCGGCCUGAGAGGGUGACCGGCCACACUGGGACUGAGAUACGGCCCAGACUCCUACGGGAGGCAGCAGUGGGGAAUAUUGCACAAUGGGCGCAAGCCUGAUGCAGCGACGCCGCGUGAGGGAUGACGGCCUUCGGGUUGUAAACCUCUUUCAGCACAGACGAAGCGCAAGUGACGGUAUGUGCAGAAGAAGGACCGGCCAACUACGUGCCAGCAGCCGCGGUAAUACGUAGGGUCCGAGCGUUGUCCGGAAUUACUGGGCGUAAAGAGCUCGUAGGUGGUUUGUCGCGUUGUUCGUGAAAACUCACAGCUUAACUGUGGGCGUGCGGGCGAUACGGGCAGACUUGAGUACUGCAGGGGAGACUGGAAUUCCUGGUGUAGCGGUGGAAUGCGCAGAUAUCAGGAGGAACACCGGUGGCGAAGGCGGGUCUCUGGGCAGUAACUGACGCUGAGGAGCGAAAGCGUGGGGAGCGAACAGGAUUAGAUACCCUGGUAGUCCACGCCGCAAACGGUGGGUACUAGGUGUGGGUUUCCUUCCUUGGGAUCCGUGCCGUAGCUAACGCAUUAAGUACCCCGCCUGGGGAGUACGGCCGCAAGGCUAAAACUCAAAGAAAUUGACGGGGGCCCGCACAAGCGGCGGAGCAUGUGGAUUAAUUCGAUGCAACGCGAAG
rnacentral:rRNA from 1 species